AUUGAACGCUGGCGGCAUGCCUUACACAUGCAAGUCGAACGGCAGCACGGGGCAACCUGGUGGCGAGUGGCGAACGGGUGAGUAAUGCAUCGGAACGUACCUUUCAGUGGGGGAUAACGUAGCGAAAGUUACGCUAAUACCGCAUAUUCUGUGAGCAGGAAAGCAGGGGAUCGCAAGACCUUGCGCUGAUUGAGCGGCCGAUGUCAGAUUAGCUAGUUGGUGAGGUAAAGGCUCACCAAGGCGACGAUCUGUAGCGGGUCUGAGAAGAUGAUCCGCAAACCUGGAACUGAGACACGAUCCAGACUCCGACGGGAGGCAGCAGUGGGGAAUUUUGGACAAUGGGGGCAACCCUGACCCAGCCAUGCGGCGUGAGUGAAGAAGGCCUUCGGGUUGUAAAGCUCAUUCGGCCGGGAAGAAAUCGCACGGGCUAAUACCCUGUGUGGAUGACGGUACCGGAAUAAGAAGCACCGGCUAACUACGUGCCAGCAGCCGCAGUAAUAC
rnacentral:rRNA from 1 species